rnacentral:rRNA from 1 species
AGCUCCAAUAGCGUAUAUUAAAGUUGUUGCAGUUAAAAAGCUCGUAGUUGAAUUUCUGAUAGAAGGGAGCGGUUCCGCAUUCUUGCGGAUACUGGCUCGUCUUCCGUCAUCCUUGGGCUUAGUCUCGCUGAUAUUAACUUAUCGGCGUGUACCAUGCCCAUCGUUUACUGUGAGCAAAUUAGAGUGUUUCAAAGCAGGCAUUUUGCCAUUGAAUAUAUUAGCAUGGAAUAAUAAGAUAGGAUUUCACGAUUUUAUUUUGUUGGUUUGCGUUGUGAAAUAAUGAUUAAGAGGGACAGUUGUGGGUAUUCGUAUUCAGAUGUCAGAGGUGAAAUUCUUAGAUUAUCGGAAGACGAACGACUGCGAAAGCAUUUACCAAGGAUGUUUUCA